CCAAGACUCCAUCUCAAAAAAAAAAGCUCAUAAUCACCAUAGUCCUCAGAUCUUUCCUAAGGAAUGUAACAUUUUGACACAGAAGAAUCCUUGCAUUUUAGCUUUUAACAAAAUCUCAAGCAGUCUGUUAACCAGAUUACCAUCGGCAUCAUGAGAAAUGGGGAUAAGGCUUUGGUGGGUGGGGCAGGAUGGAGUGAGAAAUGGAGUAAAACUCAAUGACACCUAUAGGCCAUAUUACUUGCUAAUACAAAAAACAUGUGUAUUGGGACUCCCGAACUGGGGUAGCUGCCGCUGCCGGCACCUAAGAAGUGGGCUUGGGAAGGAAGCGGUCACCUCGCUCAGACCUUCGCUGGGCAGCAUCUUUGUCCCUUGCCGCCCUCCCAUGGAAUGACAAUGAAUAAAAGUGAGCUGGUACAGAAAGCCAAACUCUCUGAGCAGGCUGAGAGCUAUGAUGAUGCACCUGCAGCCAUGAAGGCGAUCACAGAACAGGGGCAUGAACUCUCCAAUGAAGAGAGAAAUCUGAUCUCUGUUGCCUACAAGAAUGUGGUAGGCACCCGCUGCUCUUCCCAGCGUGUCAUCUCCAGCAUUGAGCAGAAAACAGACAGGAAUAAGAAGCAGCAGCAGAUGGACAAAGAGGACCGUGAGAAGAUAGAGGCAGAACUGCAGGACAUCUGCAAUGACGUUCUGGAGCUGUUGGACAAAUAUCUCAUUCCCAGUGCUACAUAACCAGAAAGUAAGGUGUUUUACCUGAAAAUGAAAGAUUAUUUUAGGUAUCUUUCUGAAGUGGCAUCUGGAGACAAACAAACCACUGUGUUGAACUCCCAGCAGGCUUACCGGGAAGCAAUUAGAAAUUAGAAAGAAAUGCAGCCUGCACACCCAGUUCGACUUGAUCCGGCACUUAAUUUCUCAGUCUUUUACUAUGACAUUCUCAAUUCUCCUGAAAAGGCCUGUGGCCUGGCAAAAAUGGCAUUUGGUGAACCAAUUGCUAAAUUGGAUAUACUGAAUGAAGAGUCUUAUUUGCACUCUCAUCAUGCAGUUACUUAGGGACAGUCUCACUCUGUGGACGUCGGAAAACCAGGGGAAAAAGGAGACGCUGGGAAGGGAGAGAACUAGUGUCUCUCAUGCUUCGUGAUCUGUUCAGUGUCACUCCGUACCCUCCCAUGUGCGAUUACAAAUAAAAAAAAAAGAAUUGUAUGUUGACUUUGGAUUUUUCACAGCCUCAGCCUAACAAAAAUGGUUUCUGAGAUAAAUAGCUGUUAUUUGUAUCUAAAACUCAGGUUGGUCCCAAAAAUGCCACAGCAUUCUGAAAUUUUGAUUUUGAUUAGCAUUUGACAGGAUUACUGUGUGUUUAAUUUUUUUUUAACUGAACACUGUGAUUAUGGAGUUUUGUGAUUUACAGAACUCUUUCUGGUGGGAAAAAAUAGACCUGGAUUAUGUGUAACUUUUUGGAAAGUUUAAUCUGAUAUCAAAAUAAAUCAUUGAAAUAGACAAUUCCAUUGUAAAGUUGUACAGAAAGUUACAGAGAUUACAUUGUGAUGCUGGAACUUGGAGUGAGACACACGUCACCUGGCCAGGUUUAAUGGUAAUUCACAGUAAAGCUGCCUGUUGUUGACCUGUUUGGGCUGUUGCCACUCAAAAGUUCAUGACCACAAAUGUCCACAGUGUCUUCCUCUGAGGAAACGCGCAUCCUGAAAUUGAAAUUAUUUGAGGCAGAAAACUGGCCUAUGACACCUUGGAAAGUUCAAGUGCUCAUGUAACAAACCUGACUAAACCUCCUUUCCUACAGCAGUGCAGUGAGUUAGCUGUGUUACCCAUUUGCAACUUGUGCUUCAAUAGUGGAAUCUGUUUUCAUUGUUAGCACUGAGCUCAAGGAAAAAAGCCAUGUGUUUUGUGAAUGACCUUAUCUGUUUCCUGGAUGAUACCUUUAAGAAUCAUGUUCUGAGUCAGGCAUGGUGGUGCAUGCAUGUAGUCCCAACUACCUGGGAGGCUGGGGCAGGAGGAUCCCCUGAGCCCAGGAAUUUAAGGCUGCAGCCCCCUAUGGUUGCACCUGAGAAUAACUGCACUCUAGCCUGGGCAGCCGAGCAAGACCUCAUCUCCAAAAAAAAUUUAAAAAAAGAAUGACGUCCUGUAGAGAGUGCCUUUCACUUGAGGAGUAAUCAGUUUUCAGGUUCCUGCUAGCUCCAGGCUUUUAAAUUUUGAAAUCUAAACAUUCUUUCCCACCGUUCUUUUUGACUACUGACUUUGGUUUUCAUUUCUCUCCUAAGUUUCUGUCCCUCUGCUUCCUUACCUUUUUUCCUUCUUGAAUUCUAUCUUUAUCUGUCUUUUGUUCACUUUUUAAUGCUACAUAUGGGCAGGGGUGAGAGGCAUUAGUGAGCACCUUGGUGAGCAAGCCUGGCUUUAAAGAGUUGAGAAGAGCUUCUGACACCAGAGCUCUGUCUUCCUCCUGUUCUCAGCACGGUGUUGCUUUUCAGUCAUACCAGGAUCUGAAUCAAAAAGGUAUUUUUGAAUAUCCAUGAUUUCUCCCUGUAUUGAGGCUGGCCCUGAUCAUGCUUCUUAGUGCCUGUCACCAGGUCUCCCGAGUGCACUCAUCCAGCUCAGGUCUAACAUGUGUUUUAAGGAGACCCUAUAUUCAGGGAAGUUGCAUGGAUACUGCAGUGGAGAGAAUUGAGAAUAGUCAGGCCUGUUGGUCUCAACAGAUCAUCCCUCUACCUUUAACAUUCCACCUAGCUGUAGAGUCCACCUGCUUCUCCAUCUGCUGAAAUUAAGAAAAGAAAAAUGCAUGCACUGAUUGAAAACCAAAAAAAAAAAAGAAAA